rnacentral:rRNA from 1 species
AUUGAACGCUGGCGGCAGGCCUAACACAUGCAAUUCGAGCGGAGCGGCGGACGGUUGAGUAAUGCCUAGGAAUCAGCCUGGUGGUGGGGGAUAACGUCCGGAACCGGGCGCUAAUACCUCAUACUAGCAGUAGAGCACAGGGCGGAUUAGCUAGUUGGUGGGGUAAAGGCCUACCAAGGCGACGCUCCGUAACUGGUCUGAGAGGACGAUCAGGCCCACUGGAACUGAGACACGGUCCAGACGCCUACGGGAGGCAGCAGUGGGGAAUAUUGGACAAUGGGCGAAAGCCUGAUCCAGCCAUGCCGCGUGUGUGAAGAAGGUCUUCGGAUUGUAAAGCACUUUAAGUUGGGAGGCGUUACCAACAGAAUAAGCACCGGCUAACUUCGUGCCAGCAGCCGCGGUAAUAC